GCCGGGCGUGGUGGUGCACGCCUGUAAUCCCAGCUAUUCAGGAGGCUGAGGCAGGAGAAUUGCUUGAACCCAGGAGGCGGAGGUUGCAGUGAGCUGAGAUCAUGCCACUGCACUCCAGCCUGGGUAACAGAGCGAGACUCUGUCUCAG
rnacentral:SRP_RNA from 2 species